UCUCCGUUGGUGAACCAGCGGAGGGAUCAUUACCGAGUUUACAACUCCCAAACCCCUGUGAACCUUACCUAUCGUUGCCUCGGCGGACCGCCCCGGCGCCCUCGGGCCCGGACCAAGGCGCCCGCCGGAGGACCCAAACUCUUGUUUUCUAUAGAAUCUUCUGAGUGGCAUAAGCAAAAAUAAAUCAAAACUUUCAACAACGGAUCUCUUGGUUCUG
rnacentral:misc_RNA from 1 species